AGUGAACGCUGGCGGUAGGCCUAACACAUGCAAGUCGAACGGCAGCACAGUAAGAGCUUGCUCUUACGGGUGGCGAGUGGCGGACGGGUGAGGAAUACAUCGGAAUCUACUUUUUCGUGGGGGAUAACGUAGGGAAACUUACUCUAAUACCGCAUACGACCUACGGGUGAAAGCAGGGGAUCUUCGGACCUUGCGCGAUUGAAUGAGCCGAUGUCGGAUUAGCUAGUUGGCGGGGUAAAGGCCCACCAAGGCGACGAUCCGUAGCUGGUCUGGGAGGAUGAUCAGCCACACUAGAACUGAGACACGGUCCAGACUCCUACGGGAGGCAGCAGUGGGGAAUAUUGGGCAAUGGGCGCAAGCCUGAUCCAGCCAUACCGCGUGGGUGAAGAAGGCCUUCGGGUUGUAAAGCCCUUUUGUUGGGAAAGAAAAGCAGCAGGUUAAUACCCCGCUGUUCUGACGGUACCCAAAGAAUAAGCACCGGCUAACUUCGUG
rnacentral:rRNA from 1 species